GUAAACCUUGCCCUCUUGUUUAAAUUGGACAGGGAAGAUGCUUGGCCAUCAUGAUUCUCUCUCUUACCAUGUAAAGAAGCAGCACCAGAGCUCAUCGCAUCCGCAUAUGAAAGCAUCAUUUCUGGCGCAGCAGGAGAAGCUACUGAUGCAUUUAAAACUCCUGACCUAUGGUCCUGCAUGAUUCUUGGACUCACAACCCCCAUUGGAUACUUUGGUUGCUGAGAUACCGAAGGCGAUGCUGGAAUAGAGGUCUCAGACCCAAAACUGUUACUUCUUAGUGCCAACAUAUUGGUUGGUCCAUUAU
rnacentral:misc_RNA from 1 species